rnacentral:rRNA from 1 species
UACGUAGGGGGCUAGCGUUAUCCGGAAUUACUGGGCGUAAAGGGUGCGUAGGUGGUUUCUUAAGUCAGAGGUGAAAGGCUACGGCUCAACCGUAGUAAGCCUUUGAAACUGAGAAACUUGAGUGCAGGAGAGGAGAGUAGAAUUCCUAGUGUAGCGGUGAAAUGCGUAGAUAUUAGGAGGAAUACCAGUUGCGAAGGCGGCUCUCUGGACUGUAACUGACACUGAGGCACGAAAGCGUGGGGAGCAAACAGGAUUAGAUACCCGCGUAGUCCCUGAG